GAUGAACGCUAGCGGCAGGCUUAACACAUGCAAGUCGAGGGGUAGAGGAAGCUUGCUUCCUUGAGACCGGCGCACGGGUGCGUAACGCGUAUACAAUCUACCUUUUACAGAGGGAUAGCCCCAGAGAAAUUUGGAUUAAUACCUCAUAGUAUUUUCGGAUCGCAUGAUUUGAUUAUUAAAGUUCCAACGGUAAAGAUGAGUAUGCGUCCCAUUAGCUAGAUGGUAAGGUAACGGCUUACCAUGGCAAUGAUGGGUAGGGGUCCUGAGAGGGAGAUCCCCCACACUGGUACUGAGACACGGACCAGACUCCUACGGGAGGCAGCAGUGAGGAAUAUUGGACAAUGGGCGCAAGCCUGAUCCAGCCAUGCCGCGUGCAGGAAUAAGGUCCUAUGGAUUGUAAACUG
rnacentral:rRNA from 1 species